rnacentral:rRNA from 1 species
UACGUAGGUGGCAAGCGUUGUCCGGAAUUAUUGGGCGUAAAGAGCUCGUAGGCGGUUUGUUACGUCGGCUGUGAAAACCUGGGGCUCAACCCCGGGCCUGCAGCCGAUACGGGCAAACUAGAAUUCGGUAGGGGAGACUGGAAUUCCUGGUGUAGCGGUGAAAUGCGCAGAUAUCAGGAGGAACACCGGUGGCGAAGGCGGGUCUCUGGGCCGAUAUUGACGCUGAGGAGCGAAAGCGUGGGGAGCGAACAGG